rnacentral:rRNA from 1 species
AUGCCCUCCGGGAUGUGCCCGGCGAGCUCGUUGUGCGCGACGUCGAGCUGCUCCAGCGCGUGCAUCCCUGCCAUGGACUCCGGCAGCGUGCCCUGGAGCUGGUUAAAGCUCACGUCCAGCACGGUGAGCUCGCGCAGCCACCCGAUCUCCGGCGGGAUGCAGGACCGGAUGCCGGAGUUGAGCAUGACGAGCUCGUUGAGCGUGCCCCCCAUGCGCCCCACGCUGGCGGGGAUGCAGCCACGGAGGCGGAGGUUGGCGAGCACGAUGACCGAGGCGGGGGAGUUGCCAAAGUUUUCCGGCAGCUCGAAGUCGAAGUUGUUGUCGUUGAUGAAGAGCGCGUCGAUCUUCUUGUCGAAGAUGGCCGGGGGCACGGGGCCGCACAGGUUGUUGAACCUGAUGUCCACGUACUUGACGUUGGGGAGGCAGAGGAUGUGCUGCGGGAAGCCGCCGGAGAGGCGGUUGUUGCUGACGUCGAGCUCGUGGAGGAGGGAGAGCUUGGGGAGGGAGUCCGGGAGCCCCCCGGCGAAGCGGUUGGAGUUGAGGUGGAGGACGGCGAGGUCAGUGAGGUGGCCGAGCUCGAACGGCAGCGUGCCGGCGAGGUCGCCGUGA